AGUUUGAUCCUGGCUCAGGAUGAACGCUAGCUACAGGCUUAACACAUGCAAGUCGAGGGGAAACGACAUCGAAAGCUUGCUUUCGAUGGGCGUCGACCGGCGCACGGGUGAGUAACGCGUAUCCAACCUGCCCAUCACUUGGGGAUAACCUUGCGAAAGUAAGACUAAUACCCAAUGACGUCUCUAGAAGACAUCUGAAGGAGAUUAAAGAUUUAUCGGUGAUGGAUGGGGAUGCGUCUGAUUAGCUUGUUGGCGGGGUAACGGCCCACCAAGGCGACGAUCAGUAGGGGUUCUGAGAGGAAGGUCCCCCACAUUGGAACUGAGACACGGUCCAAACUCCUACGGGAGGCAGCAGUGAGGAAUAUUGGUCAAUGGGCGAGAGCCUGAACCAGCCAAGUAGCGUGCAGGAUGACGGCCCUAUGGGUUGUAAACUGCUUUUAUAAGGGAAUAAAGUGAGCCUCGUGAGGCUUUUUGCAUGUACCUUAUGAAUAAGGACCGGCUAAUUCCGUGCCAGCAGCCGCGGUAAUACGGAAGGUCCGGGCGUUAUCCGGAUUUAUUGGGUUUAAAGGGAGCGUAGGCCGGAGAUUAAGCGUGUUGUGAAAUGUAGACGCUCAACGUCUGCACUGCAGCGCGAACUGGUUUCCUUGAGUACGCACAAAGUGGGCGGAAUUCGUGGUGUAGCGGUGAAAUGCUUAGAUAUCACGAAGAACUCCGAUUGCGAAGGCAGCUCACUGGAGCGCAACUGACGCUGAAGCUCGAAAGUGCGGGUAUCGAACAGGAUUAGAUACCCUGGUAGUCCGCACGGUAAACGAUGGAUGCCCGCUGUUGGUCUGAAUAGGUCAGCGGCC
rnacentral:rRNA from 1 species